ACCAUAUUACACUGAAAUACCGGUUCUCGUACGAUCACAGAAGUUAAGCAACGUCGAGCCAGGUCGGUACCUACAUGGAUAACCGCUUGGGAAUACCAAGUGCUGUAA